AAUUUUUUAGUAUACUUUGUACAUUUAGCUUCCAACUAAAAAGUCUAUAAAAUAGAAAAAUUA
rnacentral:tRNA from 1 species